rnacentral:rRNA from 1 species
AAUAGAUACCCGGGUAGUCCACGCCCGUAAACGACUGAGUGCUAAGUGUUAGGGGGUUUCCGCCCCUUAGUGGCUGCAGCUAACGCAUUAAGCACUCCGCCUGGGGAGUACGGUCGCAAGACUGAAACUCAAAGGAAUUGACGGGGGCCCGCACAAGCGGUGGAGCAUGUGGUUUAAUUCGAAGCAACGCGAAGAACCUUACCAGGUCUUGACAUCCCGCUGACCGCUAUGGAGACAUAGCUUUCCCUUCGGGGACAGCGGUGACAGGUGGUGCAUGGUUGUCGUCAGCUCGUGUCGUGAGAUGUUGGGUUAAGUCCCGCAACGAGCGCAACCCUUGUUCUUAGUUGCCAUCAUUAAGUUGGGCACUCUAAGGAGACUGCCGGUGAUAAACCGGAGGAAGGUGGGGAUGACGUCAAAUCAUCAUGCCCCUUAUGACCUGGGCUACACACGUGCUACAAUGGACGGUACUAAACGGUUGCGAAGUCGCGAGACGGAGCCAAUCCGAGUAAAACCGUUCUCAGUUCGGAUUGUAGGCUGCAACUCGCCU